UCCCUCUUAGCUCAGUUGGUAGAGCGCGUCACUAGUAAUGACGAGGUCAGUCGUUCAAGUCGGCUAGAGGGAA
rnacentral:tRNA from 4 species